AGGUAAUUGGAGUAGAACCUGCAGAGAUUAGUAUGAUCUCUGGUGAAAACUCAGGUUAUAUGCCAAGCAUUUUGGAUGUUAAAUUGCUUGACGAAGUUCUGAAGGUAAAGUUACCAAUGAUGAAGCAGUUGAAAUGGCACGGAAAUUGGCUCUGGAGGAAGGUUUGCUGGUUGGUAUCUCUUCUGGAGCUGCUGCAGCUGCUGCCAUCAGUAUUGCAAAAAGACCUGAGAAUGCUGGAAAACUUAUAGCUGUAAGCAAAUUUCUUAGUUCUGAAUUUUCUAUUAGCUUCUCUGCUGUUCUUUUUACAUGGUUCAAACUUUCAGUAGAAAUACCAAAAUUUUGACGAAUUAUUUCGGUUUUGAGCUGGCU